GGUGGGGAGAGUGAGGGAAAUGGUGGAUGUGCAGGAAUGUGGCUAGAUGAAAAAUGAAUGUUAAGUUAGACGAGUUAUGAACAACUUUCCUGAAAUCUUACUAAGGAAAUAUUCCGCAGAAUUUACGACACUACAUAGAACAUUGGAAAAUGAAUCCUCUACGGAAAGGGAAAUCAUCUUCAUCAAGUCAUGUUAAUCAAAGAAAGAGUAUCUUUUGCCUCCAUCUUCUAUUGAAACAUCCAGGUAGCAAGAAGCCGCGAUUAUCGACACGCAAGAAGUGGCAUUUGUCAUCUGUUUCAAUUGCAGACAAGUUUCCUAUGGCAAGUAAUCAAGUAAACCUUUCUACUAUUGGCACAAAGACUUGAAAUUCUUGGGGAGGGGGGCCAGUCAAUU